UAUGAAUUGUGUUGGUAUGACAUAUACAAUUUUUAUAACCUUACACAUUCAAAUUUUAUUUAUUUAUUAGUUUCUAAUUUUGAGUUCCAUUUGUAAUAGAGAUUUAUACAUUCCUGCAAAGAAUGAAUAUCAGGCGGGAAAAAGAGAAGGAAGAGCUGGAAGCACUCAAUAAAAAGUUGCAAAUAGACAAUCUCCAGUUAACAAGAUCUCACAUUGAAAAGAAAAAUAAGUUUGCCAACCUAACUCGUUGCUUAAAUGACAGGCAGCGGGAAGAAGAUGAACUUAAUAGAGCAACAAAAAUUAAGGAGCACAUCGCCCUGCAAAAUGCGAAAGUUGAACAGGAGCAACAGUUGGUAACCCAAA